rnacentral:rRNA from 1 species
UACGUAGGGUGCAAGCGUUAAUCGGAAUUACUGGGCGUAAAGCGUGCGCAGGCGGUUGUGCAAGACAGAUGUGAAAUCCCCGGGCUCAACCUGGGAAUUGCAUUUGUGACUGCACGGCUAGAGUGUGUCAGAGGGGGGGUAGAAUUCCACGUGUAGCAGUGAAAUGCGUAGAGAUGUGGAGGAACACCGAUGGCGAAGGCAGCCCCCCUGGGCUAACACUGACGCUCAUGCACGAAAGCGUGGGGAGCAAACAGG